rnacentral:rRNA from 1 species
CAGCCGCCACGGGAAAACAGAGGGUGCGAGCGUUAAUCGGAUUUACUGGGCGUAAAGCGCGCGUAGGUGGUUUGUUAAGUUGGAUGUGAAAGCCCCGGGCUCAACCUGGGAACUGCAUCCAAAACUGGCAAGCUAGAGUACGGUAGAGGGUGGUGGAAUUUCCUGUGUAGCGGUGAAAUGCGUAGAUAUAGGAAGGAACACCAGUGGCGAAGGCGACCACCUGGACUGAUACUGACACUGAGGUGCGAAAGCGUGUGGAGCAAACAGGAUUAGAUACCCCCGUAGUCCCUGUCUCUUAUAC